UACAGAGGUGGCAAGCGUUGUUCGGAAUUACUGGGCUUAAAGAGUUCGUAGGCGGCGCGGCAAGUAGGGUGUGAAAGCCCUCGGCUCAACCGAGGAAUUGCGCUCUAAACUGCCGCGCUCGAGGAACCUAGAGGUGAGCAGAACUGAUGGUGGAGCGGUGAAAUGUGUUGAUAUCGGAAGGAACGCCGGUGGCGAAAGCGACACACUGGGUCUCAACUGACGCUGAGGCACGAAAGCCAGGGGAGCGAACGGG
rnacentral:rRNA from 1 species